CUCUCGGAACUGGGGCAGCGGCCCGCUCACCUCGUGUCCGUUGCUGGCCGGGAUGAUUUCAGACUCGUUCACCAAGGAAGACUUGAUGUCAGCUAAAUCGCCUUCCUCUUCGGGAUGACUGAUCUCGGCGAAGAUCUUUUCCUUCUGAGGAUCGCCCUCGUCCUUGAAGGGGAUCAUCUCGUCCGUGGCGCAGAGUUCCGGGUCCCCCCCGCCGCCGCCACCUCCUCCGGAGAGUUGGGGCAUCCCGGCGGCUCUGUAAUCUCCGCUCCGCUGUGGGAGCACCCGCGCAACAGCAGGAAAGACAGAGGGGCCCCUUUGUGUGACUAAAUUUGGCAAGAAUAUGGAUCUGAGCCAGUCUUUCCACGUGUGCUCCCAGCUCCCAGCUGAGAAGGCCAAGGGUUCUCUUCCGGAUGCAGCCUUUUUGAAAUUUAUUCUUGGCCAAAAGAGGAAGAUAGUUCAAGGAUUCUAUCUUGCUUUUGGGGGGCAAUGGAGAAACCCUGAAAACACUUAAGGAAAACCUGAGGCCUUCUAUAAGAAAAUAAACUCCCUGAAAGGGGAGGCAGGGCCAAGGAAUUUACUUAUUUUUAUAAAUCUCUUUCCUGGGUGGAUAUGGUAAUGGAUGUGUUUCUUGAAUUGUGGUAAAUGUACCUCAUAAAAUGGAUGGACUGGGGCUAUAUUCUCAGGCUUCCUGGGCUCUGUUGGCAUUGGGCAAGCACGUAAUGCCUGGUUUGAGGCUAGAAGCCAAAGCCACAACCUUCUUGCAGUACCAACUGAGCCAUAGGGAGAUUAAUGCAGAACAAGGUCGUUAGUCUCAUUGUUUAUCCAGUUACUAGCCGCAUAGAUUUUGUGUAAAUUUCAGCUACAGUGGUUGCAGCCUGCCUUUGAUGUGUGUAAUCUGUACAUUUUAGUGCUCCAGGAAAGUACCUGAUUGACAAGAUCUACAUCCAAUGCCCAGAAAACACAUCCUACACAGGCACAGUGAAGCGUGGAGUUGAAGAAUUUUCCAGAAAACCAGUUUGGCUAUUAAGGGAACCUGUCGACACAGAGCAGAGCAAGAUAAGGCCAGGUUUCAGAAAGAAUAGCUGUUUACCAUCAAAGCAACUGGGUUCCACACAGACAUGGUAUAUUAUACACAAAGACGAAGGAUAUGGGUCCACUCUCCGUCAAGGAAUGUUAUAAAUCCACGUGGUGUCCCUGGGUGUCAGGCUUGGCCAGAACAUCUGUGGCUGGAGAAGCCAAUGUGGCUCAGGAGCUCCCUGCUGGCUGCACAUCUGAACGGCUUCAGGAGUACAAGUUUCCCCAUCAAAGGUUUGGAAUAAAUUACACUAAAAAAUUG
rnacentral:lncRNA from 1 species